GAGCUUGCUCUCGGGUGACGAGCGGCGGACGGGUGAGUAAUGUCUGGGAAACUGCCUGAUGGAGGGGGAUAACUACUGGAAACGGUAGCUAAUACCGCAUAAUGUCGCAAGACCAAAGUGGGGGACCUUCGGGCCUCAUGCCAUCAGAUGUGCCCAGAUGGGAUUAGCUAGUAGGUGGGGUAACGGCUCACCUAGGCGACGAUCCCUAGCUGGUCUGAGAGGAUGACCAGCCACACUGGAACUGAGACACG
rnacentral:rRNA from 1 species